rnacentral:tRNA from 1 species
GAGGGUAUGGCUCAGUGGUUGAGCUUAUGCUUAGCACGCACGAGGUCCUGGGUUCAAUCCCCAGUGCCUCCU